GGGGCGACCCUGUGGCUGGGUUAUCGGUGGUGGCCGAGAUUGGGAAAGGCGAGGGCCUGAGGCGGGGAGCCUCCAGGUGCGCUCUGGGACAGGUGAAUGGACCAGUUUGACUGCUGGGGCCCAGGAUUUGCCUUAGGAGCAGGGCAGACAGGCGGGCGUGGCCAGAGCGGACAAGGUCUUGGUAAACACAUUACCGUGCACUUGACAGAGCAAGAGAGAGGACCCCGCCAGGGUUCUGAGCGCAAGUGUGAGGAGGGCGCAGGUCCAGCCUGCUCCAGCUCUGUCCAGUUGGAGACAACCCACGCCCCUCCCAUGCUCUGCCUUACGUGAUAUUUUAACAACUGUUCAUUCACUUUCUACUCUGCACGCAUCAAGCUCUGAGAGCAUGGACCAAGAGUAAGACAGUCCCUGCCCUAUACAAGCUGUGGGUCGCAGCAGUGCCGAGGACUAGGGCGGAAAGCAAAUGCACGUGGCUAAGAAUGAGGACAGGUGGAGACCCCAGCUGAGGUGUCAGGUGUGUGUGUGUGGGGGUGACAGUGGCUCAAAGGGGAGUGAUGCAUCCGGUGAGGAAGGUGGAGGCUGCCCUCCCGGGGCCUCUCCUUCCUAUACCCCUUCCUGGCUCCCUCUCAUUGGGGUGAAUGAUUCAUAGUCUUUGUAUCAUUGAAACUGUGGUUCAGUGACCGCGGAGAAAGGCAGGUGGCGCAUUACAGGUGCUUACUAUAUUUUCGAAAAUUAAUACUUCUCAGGCUUUCUGCUUUUCUAUACAGAUAUGUGAAAGGAGGAAAUGGCUUAUCAUUUCCCGGCCCAGACUACCCUCGUUGGCAUCACUAAAUGUAAUCCAUGUCCGUUGGUGGGAAAAUUCACAUUGAACAGAAAAGAAACCAAAUGGAAAGUAGACUCCUCCCUCCUUCCACCCUCCAGGUCCUCUCCCCAGAGUUAACUGCCACCAAUUGUGUCUUGAGGUUCUCCCAGAGUUUUUUUCCCUAAGCACACACAGGAGCCUGAUGUGAGAAUGUAUACAGAGGGGCCAUCGGAUGCGCUGUGUUCUGCACCAGGGGCCUUCUUUCUAAUGCUUCCUCAACAGCAGAAUGGGGGAAAUGGUGAUAGGAUGUUGGUCCUCAGCACCUACAACAUCAUAGUGUACGAGGCGGGUACAAAAAUGAUGAAGGAUGCAAGCCGAUGCUCCUGCUUCCACUAUGCAAUAGGCAAGAAGAUGGUGAAAAAGCAGUGAGCUUGCGUUGCCUUCUAGCAUGGGCCCCAGAGAAGAGGAAAUGCAAGAUGGAAAAUGAGUGUUAGCGGCCACGAGGAGAUAGAGCUGUUUCUGGCACUGACGGGAGAGACAAGGCCAGGAGAGUGGGAAUUCACUUGCAUUCCAUCCAAGUCCAUAUUUAGAUUUUUAAGAGAGACAGAGUGAGAGCACAAGCAAGGGGAGCAGCAGAGGGAGAAGGAG